CUUAGCCAUGCCGACCAUCUGGCUUCAACUUCACCAGGACACACCCAGCCUUUUCAGAGCUCGCUAAACGUUACCAAGACCAUCGGUCACAGUUCCGCGCCCAGUGUUUUCAUGAUGAGGGUUGAACGGUUGCUUGACGCAGGAGAGGAAGCAAAGCCUUCCUUUACACCGACGGUGGAAGAGGAAAUGAUAACGCAAAGCGUUGUGUUAGCGGGCCAGGUGGAACUGUGGUUUCCUUCUCCUCGGCCUUCCUGGAGCUGCUGCCUGUGGGACUCCCGCCGAGCUCUUCCGGAAUACUCCACAGGAAGGCGAGUCCCGAGCAAGCGGAGUCUUACUGGCCUAAAUAAACCUGUUAGGAAUGCUUUCCUACUAUUUUAUUAAGGAAGAGGCAAGUGUAAUCUUAAAAUAUAUGUCCAGAAAUAUCCAGAGGAUCUCUUAAGGAUAUACCCAGAAAUAUAAACUAAUCACAUACUUAUAUUUGUUUACCAAAAAGGAAAUGAGGAAACAGAAAUCAUUACAAAUUCAAACAAGUUCACUAUUUAACACCAUAGCCAGAACAUUUCAGCCUGAAAUGAAUGAAAGGGUCUCUUUCUAUUACUAGUUGUGAGUCGUAGAUGUCAGUAAAAUUUCUCUGUGUUUCACGUUCUCUGCAAAAGAAUCCAUCACACUUCCACGGUAGAUCUGUAUUACUGGUUUCUACCAUUACCAGUCCUUCCUAGGCCUGGCUGUGUUUCUGAUCCUUGAAAUGGAAAGAUUCCAGGGUAUGUGACCUAACCAUUCAGAGAUGACUAAUUCCUCCCAUGAAAGGAGCAGUAUAAAUAUUUUACAGAACAGAGACAAAUAUUGUUGUAUUGCUUAAUCAUUUUCUAUAAAAUAAUUAGAAAUGACAAGUGAUGCUGUUGUUAACUCUACUUGACAGGGCAUGUAACUCAUGAGAAGAAUAACUUAAUAUUUGUUAACUGCUUCCUGUGUGAAGUCUGCUUUAAGACUAUUUCAAACAAAAUUAUAUCCUAAUCAUUAAACC